AUGACAACAGUGGAUCUGAAAAAUUUUGGGUACACUGACGAACCGUUCGUCCUAGCCAAUGAUGUGGCACAGGUUAUCUAUGUGAAGGACAUGUCUACCAGACCGAGAAAAAGAAAAGAUAAGGAAGUGAAUACAUCAUACGAUGAGCCAAAGCGCCACAUAGUUCUUUCAGGAAAAAGGGACAUCGUGGGACUGGGUGGCAAGACAGACAUGUCUGAAGAUUAUGAAAAGUUUCAUGAAAUUCCUCCCUUCAAAGUCAAGGCUGACCCCAGCAUCCUGAUAAACGAUGAAGAUUAUCCAUGGUUACGGCGCAUUAAGCAAAUGACACAAGCGAAGAAAAAGUGA
rnacentral:rRNA from 1 species